rnacentral:rRNA from 1 species
CCCGGGUCUUGUACACACCGCCCGUCACACCAUGGGAGCGGGUUCUGCCAGAAGUAGUUAGCCUAACCGUAAGGAGGGCGAUUACCACGGCAGGGUUCGUGACUGGGGUG